CUGGAAGAAGUAAUUAGCGAAUGCCAAGAAUUCUUAGUGAUUUCUCAAGGAGCCCUCCCUUGGCCUCUGUUUUGAUAUUAUCAUGUUGUUGCUGUGCUCCUAUAUUUUUAUCUCAGAGCAGGCAAGGUCUCUUAGGCAAUGGUCCCUCUUGCUCCCAAUAUCGAUAUCGUUUCUCCAUCUGUGUCCCCCGGGCGGCCGCCUCCUGGCUUAGGUUGCCCCCCCAGGGGGUCUUACCAGUCAUUGGCUAACCGGCCUUCUCACCUCUGGGGCACAGUUUGUUGGCAAGCUUUUUCCAGUGAUUAUUAACCCUUCCUAUGUCAGGGGCGGCUCCAGGAGGCUCCAGGACUGAGAAAGGUGCUUAGUCUUUCUCCGGGCACCUUACACAGUUGUCUGAGCAGAUCUCACAGUUCUUCUCUUCACAGAAGGUCUGUCAGACGUCAGGAAGGUGCCUUUAUGGCCCAGCUCGUCAGCUACCACAAGCGCUGGAGAAGAAGGAGGCGUUCUGGAGGAUUUGCGUGGGCCUCUUGGCAGGCUGCAAGAACUCAAACAUGAAAGCAGAAAGACCCAGAGAGCCUUCCUCGACUAGCAUGAGACGUGCAACAUGACUCAGCCGUGAGCCGUCUCUGAGGAAUUGCUGGCUCAGACACUGAAUUGUCUUCAUACAAACGCGGCUGCACCAGUUUGCCCAUCUGAUUUACACCUCGGCACCAACAUCAGGUUCCAAAAAUUUCCAUGGGGCGAGCAAGAGAACCUGCCAGCCACCCAAGACAUGGCCCUGCAGACAGGCCUGGAUGCAGCGUCCCCGGCAGACGGUGGACCGUGCUGCAGGACACGGAUGCUUCCAUUCGCUCACCACGAAGAGAGGCGAGCGGCUUCCAGACCUGCGCGCCCAUCAGGCACAGCUCGAAUGAAGCCAGGUCAGGACAGGAGCUGACAGCGGCCACCUCCCAUCCUCCCAUCUCCCACCCGCUCAGAGGCGUCCCUGUACCUAGUUUCUCCAAAUGGCAACAACUCUAGAACAACUGUGAUAUUGACAUUGAUACUGUCCACCAAUCUGAUUCAGUUUCUCCUGUUUACUUGCGCUUACUUGUGUACGUGUGUGUGUUUAACUCUAAGCAAUUUAUUUCAGAUGUGUAGGUUUCUGUAUCCACCAUCACAAUCAAAAUAUGAAACUGUUACAUCACCAUAAGAAUCCUCUUUAUUGCCUAUUUAUAGGAGACUUCCUUCCCCAAUGUGUGUGAACACAUGUGUGUGAACAUAAGUUUUAAUUUCUCUAGGAUAAGUGCUCAAGUGUACAAUUAAUGAGUUGUGUGGCAAUUGCAUGUUUAGUUUUAUAAGAAACUGCCAAACUAUUUUCCAGAGUAACUGUACCAUUUCACGUUCCCACCAGCAAAGUAUGAGUGAUCCAGUUUCUCCUCAUCCUUGCCGGCAUUUGAUGGUGUUGUUUUUUCACCUUUAGUCAUUCUGACAGGCAUGUAGUGAUGUAUCAUUGUGAUUUUAAUUUGCAUUUCCCUAAUGCCUAAUGCUGAGCAUAUUUUCAUGUGCUUACUUGACAUCUGUAUAAUCUUUGGUGAAAUAUCUGUUCAUCUCUUUUGCUCACAAAAUGCAAAAAUCUUUUCACUAGUAAAUUCAUAGAUAUAUCAGCGGAGAUUUGCUAGGAUACAGGUGCAAGAAAGUUCAUUGUAACAAUAUUUUAGGAAUAAAACAGCAACAGCCACAAAGCCCACCCUGGAAACAGUGUAAAGAACGUUAGUAGGGAUUGACCCAAUUAUCACUGCUCUGUGGUAUGAUCAAACAGUGGGGCCAAAUAAUGGGACAAAGGUAAAAGUCUGGAGUCCCUUAAAGAAGGAAAGGUUACCACUCACCUCACAUGGAUUGUGACAUCCCAGAGACGACAGCUCCCAGGGAGAGGACAAGCAUCCCGAACUUCGCUUUCCCAUGGGGCGCUGCAGACACCACCUCAUCGGCCAGGGGUCCCCCUGGGCCCUCUGCAAAGCUCCCUUUGCUUCUGCUUGUGGGGUUUUGGGUCCCCUGGCUUUUUCCAGCCACUCUGGAAAGUCUUCCCACCAGGUGCCAGUUGGAAGUGGAGACCUCAGCACACACCUGGAGCGAUGUACUGAAGACUGAGCUGGUCCAGGCCACUCCAAGUUUCCCACGUUUCUCCUCUGUAAUGGAACCUGACUCUGUGUUUCGAUGUUUGAUUGCUGACACAUCUGAGGCUUCUACUCUCCCUCUUCCCCUGGUGCCCCACAUCCAGGCAAGCUGGAAAGCUCAGCUGCUCCCAGCUUUGGCACGGCGGCAGUUUCAAACCAUGCCAGCCCCUUCCUGGGGACAGUAGCUCCUACCUGGGCCCACCCACAGCCACAACACAAACCCCAAGCCGGUCUCCUUUCCUUGCUCUCUCAGCCAUUUCCAAACCCGCUUGGGAAGCUCUCCUGUUCUUCCCUGAAUGCCUCAUCAUGAAAGUAACUAAUCUUUCACACCCUCUUGGUGUGCGGCCACCGCACCCUCCCUGGUACGUCCAGGCCUGAGGCCCUAUUCUUAUAAUCCAUGACUGAAGUCUGUUCCUAUAACCCAUCCCUGACCUAAGAUUUCAUACUUUUUAACCAGUAAUGCAGUAGGUCUAAUCUCUUUUCAACUUAUUUUUUUAAAAUAAAAUGUUCUUACAUCUCAGGUAGAAAACAAAACAAAUCACAUUUCCGUUGCUACAGUAACACUCUGAAGUCAGUGAGGAAUCAAUUAUACGCAUCACAGUAUUUCACAUUUCUUUCCCAGCAGUUUGUUCCUCCCAACCCCACUCCACCAUUUUUAUUUAUUUAUUUAAAGAUUGGCACCUGAGCUAACACCUGCUGCCCAUCUUUUUUCUUUUUCUUUUUCUUCUCCCCAAAUCCCCCCAGCACAUAGUUGUAUAAUCUAGUUGUGAGUCCUUCUGGUUCUGCUAUGUGGGACGCCACCUCAGCAUGGCCUGAUGAGCGGUGCCAUGUCUGUGCCCAGGAUCCAAACCAGCAACACCCCAGGCCGCUGAAGCAGAGUGCACGAUCUUAACCACUCGGCCACGGGGGCGGCACACCACCAUUUUUAAAUAAAAGAACAUGGCUACUAAUUAACCCAUGUUAGAAGAUUUGCAGUGGUUCUCAAAUGCAAGCUAGUUUGUCCCUUAGGUAGGGUGACCAGUGGUCUUAGUGUGCCCAGGACUUUCCUGAUUUUAGCUCUGAAAGUCUGUAUCCUGGAAACCCCCCAGUCCCAGGUAAGUUGGGACAGUUGGUCACCCUACCCCCAGGGGAUCUUGGUAAGGUCUGGAGACAUUUUUGGUUGUUACGACUGUGUGUGUGUGUGUUCUACUGUAUCUAGUGAGUAGAGGCCACAGACGCUGCUAACCAUCUUACAACAUGUGGACAGUUCACCACAACAAAGGAUAUCCAAAAUGUCAACAGUGCUAAGGUUGAGAAACUGCUGUAGCACUGUGCUCUUCAAAGUGUGGUCUUUGGAUUAGCAGCUUGGAUACCAAGGAGAGUCUGCAUGUUAGAAAUGCAGCAACUCUGGGCCCAUCCCAGAGCCAGUGGGCCGGGGUCAGCCAGCCAUUUAACAAGCCCCCUGGGUGAUUUGCGUACACAUUGAAGCUGGAGAAGUGCUGCUCCAGUAUUUACGGUUUAUUCUUUCUGAGUGUCAGCAUGACACAGGCUCAGACAGUUCUGAUUAAUUAUAUUCACUGAUUUUUAUUGAGCUCCAGUGUCACCAUGGGGUCACCAGUAGCCUCUCUUUCCAGGGUGCCUUCUCACCCAGGGGCCUCUGAAAGCAUUGUUGACCUGUGACACGAUGUCUCAGAUUCAUCUUCUGCUCUCCUGCACCUGGAAGGAACCUUCUUUCUAAAGAGAGCUGCUUCCAUUUAGUGGAGAACAAGACUGAGAGACCAAAACCCGGCCGUGGGGUUGUACAUCUGAGCACGGGAUAGAAUAAGACAAUAGCCAAGAAGUUAAACAGACCUUUCCCUCACAGGGUCCUCCAAUGGGAUCCGUACAGUGAGUGGAUAGAAGCCGUGAAAGGAAACCUUAGAAAAAUACAAGUGACUGCAUUUCAGCCUAACACUCUUCUUUCACCCUUCAUCUGCAUGGGCACUAGUGUCAUUUAUCAUGCACAGUUUUAGUUUUGAACUCCACUUUCUCAAAGACCUUUGGACAAUUACGUAAUAACUAUAGCAAUACAGCAGUCCAAAUUUAAAAAGUUAAUAAAGCAUGUAAGCAAAUACAACUGCGUUAAUAUUAAGAGUCAUCAGAGGUGGAGAGUUAUUUCAUGGGAUGGCCUGUGUUUCAAGGGAAGCAGCUAAAAAUGAGGUGGCAAGUAAUGAUCUGGGAGCAGCAGUUGGAGGCCGGAAGAAUUCUGGGCGGGCGAGCUGCUGGGAAGGUAGGGGCUUGGGGAAACACCAGGCUUCCGCAGAGGCAGGAAGUGAAUUCUGCUAACAACCAAUGAGCUUGAAAAAGAACCUUGAGCCUCUGAUGAGACUGUGGCCCCGGCCAGCACCCUGCCUGCGGCCUGUGAGCGCGUGAGCCCGCGAGCAGAGAACCUGGUUGAGUCAUGCCUGGACUUCUGACCUACAGAACAGUAAAUGGGUGCUGUUUUAAGCUACUAGUUUGUGGUAAUUUGUUACACGGCAAUAGAAAACUAAUACAUUCCACCUUCUAUGUUCAAUUGUAGAGCAUAGGAUCCUUAAUCCUUUCUCUGUCCUGCCAUUCCAGAGGAACUGGUUAAAGUGUGUCAGUGACUGCAGGUCAUCACGGCAGGAUUUUCCCCAGGGAUGGGAGGGGUCGUCUGAAAGAGCCAUCACUUGAUUCUGUUCACCUCUGUUAUCAAUCACUACUGCAAAUGAUUUAGGCAUUUUCUUCCAUUUUUUCUAUUUAUCAAAA
rnacentral:lncRNA from 1 species